CCUACGGGAGGCAGCAGUGAGGAAUAUUGGUCAAUGGGCGGGAGCCUGAACCAGCCAAGCCGCGUGAGGGAAGAAGGUACAGCGUAUCGUAAACCUCUUUUGUCAGGGAACAAAGGCGGGGACUAGUCCCCGGAUGAGGGUACCUGAAGAAAAAGCAUCGGCUAACUCCGUGCCAGCAGCCGCGGUAAUACGGAGGAUGCGAGCGUUAUCCGGAUUUAUUGGGUUUAAAGGGUGCGCAGGCGGUCUGUUAAGUCAGCGGUCAAAGCCCGGGGCUCAACCCCGGCCCGCCGUUGAAACUGGCAGUCUCGAGUUGGAGAGAAGUAUGCGGAAUGCGCGGUGUAGCGGUGAAAUGCAUAGAUAUCGCGCAGAACUCCGAUUGCGAAGGCAGCAUGCCGGCUCCACACUGACGCUGAGGCACGAAAGCGUGGGUAUCGAACAGGAUUAGAUACCCUUGUAGUC
rnacentral:rRNA from 1 species